rnacentral:rRNA from 1 species
GUGGCAGACGGGUGAGUAAUGUAUAGGAAUCUACCUAGUAGUUCGGAAUAAUUGUUGGAAACGGCAACUAAUACCGUAUACGCCCUACGGGGGAAAAAUUUAUUGCUAUUAGAUGAGCCUAUAUUAGAUUAGUUAGUUGGUGAGGUAAAGGCUUACCAAGACAAUGAUCUAUAGCUGAUCUGAGAGGAUGAUCAGCCACACUGGAACUGAGAUACGGUCCAGACUCCUACGGGAGGCAGCAGUGGGGAAUAUUGGACAAUGGGCGAAAGCCUGAUCCAGCCAUGCCGCAUGAGUGAAGAAGGCCUUCGGGUUGUAAAGCUCUUUUAGUGAGGAAGAUAAUGACGGUACUCACAGAAGAAGUCCUGGCUAACUCCGUGCCAGCAGCCGCGGUAAUACGGAGAGGGCUAGCGUUAU